rnacentral:lncRNA from 1 species
GGUCCAAAUAUAGAAAUUUAAUGGUAUUUUUUGUUUGUUAACCGAUACUUUGUAUAGAAUGGAAGUUAGGUUAACAUGAUUAUAUCAUUAACUAUUACGAAAGGUCAUUAUUAAUGUUUUCCUAGACUACGAAAAACAAUUAAGCAGGUGCCAAAAUUUUUCCCUAUUUUUCAAUAUAUUUUUUCAUAAUUUAAGUUCUAAAGAAUUGUGUUGCAAGGAAAAACAUUUGAUAUAUAAGUUCGUUUGGUAAU